AGUGAACGCUGGCGGUAGGCCUAACACAUGCAAGUCGAACGGCAGCACAGUAAGAGCUUGCUCUUACGGGUGGCGAGUGGCGGACGGGUGAGGAAUACAUCGGAAUCUACUUUUUCGUGGGGGAUAACGUAGGGAAACUUACGCUAAUACCGCAUACGACCUACGGGUGAAAGCAGGGGAUCUUCGGACCUUGCGCGAUUGAAUGAGCCGAUGUCGGAUUAGCUAGUUGGCGGGGUAAAGGCCCACCAAGGCGACGAUCCGUAGCUGGUCUGAGAGGAUGAUCGGCGACACUGGAACUGAGACACGGUCAAGACUCCUACGGGAGGCAGCAGUGGGGAAUAUGAGACAAUGGGCGCAAGCCUGAUCCAGCCAGACCGCGUGGGUGAAGAAGGCCUUCGGGUUGUAAAGCCCUUUUGUUGGGAAAGAAAAGCAGCAGGUUAAUACCCCGCUGUUCUGACGGUACCCAAAGAAUAAGCACCGGCUAACUUCGUG
rnacentral:rRNA from 1 species